CCGUAGAUCAAACCCUGCCUUGUGCUCCAACCCAACUUCCUCUCCUUCGGCGUCACCAUUGCCGGCGAAGCCACGGCCGGUGCUGCUGCCGACGUUCCCGCACGGGCUUUUUCUCGAUUAGGCUUCUUAUCGCCGAUCCCUUGAGCUUCCCAACGCCGUCAAGCUUGAAGCCCUUCGCCAAGAGAACACCGUGCUCCGCAUCGCUAAGAACGACCUUGCCAAAUUCCUCUCCAAAAUCCAUAACGGCUGAGCCAUCAGAGAAGCAUAAUAUAUGCACAAGUGGACUCUACUCUACGAAUAAUUCGGGAUACAUCAGAGCUUGUCCAGUCUUUUGCUGCAGAGCAUCUCAAAACUCCUCUUGGUGAACCAGUGAAAGGCUCGAAAAACAAGUCCAACACUGAGCUUUGGCUGGAAAAAUUCUAUAAUAAAAUAACCAACUUGCCAGAGCCUUUCCUUCAUGAGUUAGUAGAAUACUUAGAAGAAUAUCUAGAUGUAAGUACCUCCUUGGUUAACACCAUUAAUGAGAAUAUCUAGAUUACAUCAUUAACAUUUACUGAUUAUGUAAUUAUAAUCAAUGUUUAGUGGCAUCAUGACGUUUUCGACUUGUCUUUGAUGUUAAUUCAAAGUAAAACAUGAUGGUUUUGUUAGGUGAGAUUGAAAGUACAAGCUAAUGAUUCUAUGAUUAGAUUAACUAAACCUACUUGUCUUCUCCUUCUUUUAUGUUUUAUGUUUUAUGUUUUUAUCUUCUUUAAUGUAAUGAUUAAGAGGGAUCUAUUUGUCUGA